AUUGGAAAUCUUUCCUUCCUCAUAAGCAUCCAAACCCAAUCUUUUGGUUUGAAAGUAACUCGCUUUCUUUCUUUCUUUAUUAGCUUAGGUUGCACAUCUCUUAUUCUGCUUCUCAAUGUGCUGUUUAACUUGUUCAUGGAUCUUUUAACCAACUCAACCUUCUUCUUUCUAUCUAAAUUUGAAAUCUCAUGCACAGGCAAAG
rnacentral:misc_RNA from 1 species